rnacentral:rRNA from 1 species
UACGGGGGGGGCAAGCGUUGUUCGGAAUUACUGGGCGUAAAGGGCGCGUAGGCGGCCUUCUAAGUCGAACGUGAAAUCCCUGGGCUCAACCCAGGAACUGCGUCCGAUACUGGAAGGCUUGAAUCCGGGAGAGGGAUGCGGAAUUCCAGGUGUAGCGGUGAAAUGCGUAGAUAUCUGGAGGAAUACCGGUGGCGAAGGCGGCAUCCUGGACCGACAUUGACGCUGAUGAGCGAAAGCUAGGGGAGCAAACGGG